AAAAUCCGGGGGGCUUAGCUGAGGCGUGAUGACGAGGCGCUACGGCGCUGAAGUGAUUGAUACCAAGCUUCCAGGAAAAGCCACUAAGCUUCAGUCUAGAGUUGACCGUACCGCAAACCGACACAGGUGGGCAGGAUGAAAAUUCUAAGGCGCUUGAGAGAACUCAGGAGAAGGAACUCGGCAAAUUAACACCGUAACUUCGGGAGAAGGUGUGCCCCGGUAGCGUGUAGAGACUUGCUCUCGAAGCGCGAUGGGGUUGCAGUGAAAUGGUGGCUGCGACUGUUUAAUAAAAACACAGCACUCUGCAAACACGAAAGUGGACGUAUAGGGUGUGACGCCUGCCCGGUGCCGGAAGGUUAAUUGAUGGGGUGCAAGCUCUUGAUCGAAGCCCCGGUAAACGGCGGCCGUAACAAUAACGGUCCUAAGGUAGCGAAAUUCCUUGUCGGGUAAGUUCCGACCUGCACGAAUGGCGUAACGAUGGCCACACUGUCUCCUCCUGAGACUCAGCGAAGUUGAAAUGUUUGUGAAGAUGCAAUCUACCCGCGGCUAGACGGAAAGACCCCAUGAACCUUUACUGUAGCUUUGCAUUGGACUUUGAACCGGUUUGUGUAGGAUAGGUGGGAGACUGUGAAGCCGGGACGCUAGUUUCGGUGGAGUCAACCUUGAAAUACCACCCUGAUUUGUUUGAGGUUCUAACCUUGGUCCUUGAAUCCGGAUCGGGGACCGUGCAUGGUAGGCAGUUUGACUGGGGCGGUCUCCUCCCAAAAGGUAACGGAGGAGUACGAAGGUACGCUUAGGGCGGUCGGACAUCGCCCACAAAGUGCAAUGGCAAAAGCGUGCUUGACUGCGAGACCCACAAGUCGAGCAGGUACGAAAGUAGGUCAUAGUGAUCCGGUGGUUCUGUAUGGAAGGGCCAUCGCUCAACGGAUAAAAGGUACUCUGGGGAUAACAGGCUAAUUCCUCCCAAGAGUUCAUAUCGACGGGGGAGUUUGGCACCUCGAUGUCGGCUCAUCACAUCCUGGGGCUGUAGUCGGUCCCAAGGGUAUGGCUGUUCGCCAUUUAAAGUGGUACGCGAGCUGGGUUUAAAACGUCGUGAGACAGUUUGGUCCCUAUCUGCCGUGGGCGCUGGAAAUUUGAAGGGGGCUGCUCCUAGUACGAGAGGACCGGAGUGGACGAACCUCUGGUGUACCGGUUAUGACGCCAGUCGUAUUGCCGGGUAGCUAAGUUCGGAAGAGAUAAACGCUGAAAGCAUCUAAGCGUGAAACUCGCCUUAAGAUUAGAUUUCCCGGAGUCUUGAACUCCCUGAAGGGUCGUCGAAGACCACGACGUUGAUAGGUCAGGUGUGGAAGCGCAGUAAUGCGUUAAGCUAACUGAUACUAAUUGCCCGUGCGGCUCG
rnacentral:rRNA from 1 species